AGUGAACGCUGGCGGUAGGCCUAACACAUGCAAGUCGAACGGCAGCACAGUAAGAGCCUGCUCUUACGGGUGGCGAGUGGCGGACGGGUGAGGAAUACAUCGGAAUCUACUUUUUCGUGGGGGAUAACGUAGGGAAACUUACGCUAAUACCGCAUACGACCUACGGGUGAAAGCAGGGGAUCUUCGGACCUUGCGCGAUUGAAUGAGCCGAUGUCGGAUUAGCUAGAUGGCGGGGUAAAGGCCCACCAAGGCGACGAUCCGUAGCUGGUCUGAGAGGAUGAUCAGCCACACUGGAACUGAGACACGGUCCAGACUCCUACGGGAGGCAGCAGUGGGGAAUAUUGGACAAUGGGCGCAAGCCUGAUCCAGCCAUACCGCGUGGGUGAAGAAGGCCUUCGGGUUGUAAAGCCCUUUUGUUGGGAAAGAAAAGCAGCAGGUUAAUACCCCGCUGUUCUGACGGUACCCAAAGAAUAAGCACCGGCUAACUUCGUG
rnacentral:rRNA from 1 species